AAUAAACCUAGCCAUUAGUUUUCACGUCCAACUUUGAUCAUCCGUCUUAUUUAAAAAAAUUUUAUAAUUAGUAUUUUUGUUGUUAUGAGAUAAUAAAACAUAAAUAUUACUUUACUCGUGACUUAUGUUUUUAAUUUUUUUAAAAAAAUUUCAAAUAAGACGAACGGUUAAAGUUGGGCGCGAAAAACCAUUGUUAUACUUAUU
rfam:Oryza barthii chromosome 7, whole genome shotgun sequence.